rnacentral:rRNA from 1 species
UACGUAGGGUGCAAGCGUUAAUCGGAAUUACUGGGCGUAAAGCGUGCGCAGGCGGCUUUGCAAGACAGAUGUGAAAUCCCCGGGCUCAACCUGGGAACUGCAUUUGUGACUGCAUGGCUUGAGUUUGGGAGAGGGACGCGGAAUUCCAGGUGUAGCGGUGAAAUGCGUAGAUAUCUGGAGGAACACCGGUGGCGAAGGCGGCGUCCUGGACCAACACUGACACUGAUGAGCGAAAGCCAGGGGAGCAAACGGG